UAUAUCUGUAAGUUUUCGAGAUCUUUCUACGAAGUGACAUUGAUGACAUUAGAAGCAUUAAUCAAUUUCUGUUAUUUACAAUGGAAUCUUCGCUAGAAACAAUGCAUUUUUGUAUCUACGUAACAUAUACCAGUAGUGAACAACUAUCGUGCAAUUCUAGUAUAAGGUAAUGUUUUUAAAUAUUUUGUUUACUUUCUGUUCAUUUAACUUAAAAGAAGAUUGAUUUAUGAUGGCGUUUAUACUGCAGGCGAAAAUAAUAGAUCGGUACUAAUUUGCAAAUCAGAGAUCUAGCAUCAAAUGUCAGGAGAAUAUCCAUUUACAAAACACGAGAAUCUUUUAAGCGAGAGUUCACUGUAAUCUCCGCUAAUAGAAUUUUGUGAUGUGUAAUAGAAUCAUCAACGUUUAUUCAUUAACAUAUAAUGUCUCCUGAAGUAAUAAUGAUUUCAUAUUGUUCAUCUGUUAGAAGACGGAGUAAACAUUUGUAUUGUUAUUCAGUUAAUGGAUACAUCAGUGAAGACACUGCUUUAUUAUAUCAUACCCAAA